GGGUUUUUUUCCCAAAAUCUGAUUUUUUUAUCCCAUUUUCCAGCCAGGAGAUGCCAUUGUGCUGAUGGCAGAAGGGUUUUUUUCCCAAAUUUUGAUUUUUUAUCCCAUUUUCCAGCCAGGAGAUGACAUUGUGCUGAUGGCAGAAGGGUUUUUUUCCCAAAAUCUGAUUUUUUUAUCCCAUUUUCCAGCCAGGAGAUGACAUUGUGCUGAUGGCAGAGGCUCUGGAGAAGCUUUUUUUCCCAAAUUUUGAUUUUUUUUCCCAAAUUUUGAUUUUUUUAUCCCAUUUUCCAGCCAGGAGAUGACAUUGUGCUGAUGGCAGAAGGGUUUUUUUCCCAAAAUCUGAUUUUUUUAUCCCAUUUUCCAGCCAGGAGAUGACAUUGUGCUGAUGGCAGAGGCUCUGGAGAAACUUUUCCUGCAGAAAAUCUCGGAGAUGACGCAGGAGGAAACCGAAAUCGUCAUCGCCCAGACCAAGGGCCGGGGCCGAGCCCGCAAGGAACCAGUGCCCUCCAAGCCGGGCUCCUCUGUGGCACCCAACGCCGCCCCAUCCUCAUCCCCGGUGCCGCCGCCGGUGCCGGUACCGGGCCUGGCACCGCCGCCGUUACCGUUCGGCGCCGCCGGCGCGGUGGGCACGGAGCUGCUGCCGCCGCCCGCCGUCACCGUGGUGCCGCCCGCGCCCCCCGCGCCCGCCCCGGCGCCACCGCCCGCGCCCGCCGCGCCCGCCGCGCUGCCGCCCCACCCGCCCGUCCUCCCCGCGCCCGCCCAGCCCGUCAAGGUGAGCGCAAUUAGCUUAAUUGGCUUCGUUAGCCGCCGACCUCGGUGCUAGUUGUGGUUUAUUAUCAUUACUUUUAUUAAUGUUACCAUUAUUGCUAAUAUUAUUCUUGUUUUCAUUGGUGUUUCCAUUGCUUCGUUAGGUGCUCGUAAUUAGCCUAAUUGGCUUCGUUAGCCGCCGACCUCGGUGCUAAUCGUGGUUUAUUAUCGUUAUUUUUAUUAAUGUUACCGUUAUUACCAAUAUUAUCAUCGUUUUCAUUACUGUUUUCAUUCCUUCGUUAGGUGCCCGUAAUUAGCUUAAUUAGGGACUGAGGUUGGUGUUAAUUGGGGCUUAUUAUCGUUAUUUUUAUUAACCUUACCCUUAUUCCUACUAUUGUUUUCAUUGCUGUUUCCAUUCUUUCAUUAGGUGCCCAUAAUUAGCUUCAUUAGGCACUGCCCUUGGUGUUAAUUGUGAUUUAUUAUUAUUAUUUUAUUAAUGUUGCUGUUACUGCUAAUAUUGUCGUUUUCAUUGCUGUUUUCAUUCCUUCGUUACGUGCCCAUAAUUAGUUUAAUUAGGGACUUCCCUUGGUGUUAAUUGUGGUUUAUUAUCGUUAUUUUUAUUAAUGUUACCAUUAUUACUAAUAUUAUCAUUGUUUUCAUUACUGUUUCCAUUCUUUCGUUAGGUGCCCAUAAUUAGCUUCAUUAGGCACCGACCUCGGUGUUAGUUGUGGUUUAUUAUCGUUAUUUUAUUAAUGUUACUGUUAUUGCUAAUGUUGUCAUCGUUUUCAUUGCUGUUUCCGUUGCUUCGUUAGGUGCCCAUAAUUAGGUUAAUUGGCUUCGUUAGCCACCCACCUCGGUGCUAGUUGGGGCUUAAUGUCGUUAUUUUUAUUAAUGUUACCGUUAUUACUAAUAUUAUCAUUGUUUUCAUUGGUGUUUUCAUUCCUUCGUUAGGUGCCCAUAAUUAGCUUCAUUAGGGACUUCUCAUGGUGUUAAUUGUUGCUUAUUAUCAUUAUAUUUAUUAACAUUACUGUUAUUGCUAAUACUGUUGUUGUUUCCAUUGCUGUUUUCAUUGCUCCGUUAGGUGCCCGUAAUUAGCUUAAUUAGGGACUGAGGUUGGUGUUAAUUGGGGCUUAUUAUCGUUAUUUUUAUUAACCUUACCCUUAUUCCUAAUAUUGUUUUCAUUGCUGUUUCCGUUGCUUCGUUAGGUGCCCAUAAUUAGUUUAAUUAGGGACUGCCCUUGGUGUUAAUUGUGGUUUAUUAUCGUUAUUUUUAUUAAUGUUACCAUUAUUGCUAAUAUUAUCAUUGUUUUCAUUGCUGUUUUCAUUCCUUCGUUAGGUGCCUGUAAUUAGCUUAAUUAGGGACUUCCCUUGGUGUUAAUUGUGGUUUAUUAUUAUUAUUUUAUUAAUGUUACCGUUAUUGCUAAUAUUGUCGUUUUCAUUGCUGUUUCCAUUCCUUCGUUAGGUGCCCGUAAUUAGCUUCAUUAGGGACUGCCCUUGGUGUUAAUUGUUGCUUAUUAUUGUUGUUGUUUCCAUUAUUGCCAUUCCUUCGUUAGGUGCCCAUAAUUAGCUUCAUUAGGGACUGCCCUUGGUGUUAAUUGUGGCUUAUUAUCGUUAUUUUUAUUAAUUUUACUGUUAUUACUAAUGUUGUCGUUUUCAUUGCUUCGUUAGGUGCCCGUAAUUAGCUUAAUUAGGGACCAAUAACGACCCGAAAGUAGAAACCCAAGGACGUCUCCGAAGCAGAAACUCCAAACCCCAAAGAACGCCCCCAAACCCCAACCCCAAACCCCAACGAACACCCCCAAACCCCAAACCCCCAAACCCCAAAACCCCAAAACCCCAAAGAACACCCCAAACCCCAAAGAACACCCCAACACCCCAAAUCCCGAUCCCUCCAACACCCUCUCUCCCUACAGACGAAGAAAGGCGUCAAGCGGAAAGCCGACACCACCACGGCCAUGGACCCCAAUGACCACCCCAAACCCCAAAACCCCAAAACCCCAAAGAACACCCCCAAACCCCAAACCUCAAAGAACACCCCAAAACCCCAAUGAACACCCCAAAUCCCCAAAAAACACCCCAAAGAACACCCCAAAGAACACCCCAAAACCCUCUCUCCCCACAGACGAAGAAGGGCGUCAAGCGGAAAGCCGACACCACCACGCCCACGGCCAUGGACCCCAAUGACCACCCCAAACCCCAACCCCCAAACCCCAAAGAACACCCCAAACCCCAAAGAACACCCCAACACCCCGAUCACCCCAACACCUUCUCUCCCUACAGACGAAGAAAGGCGUCAGGUGGAAAGCCGACACCACCACGGCCAUGGACCCCAAUGACCACCCCAAACCCCCAAACCCCAAAGAACACCCCAAACCCCAGAGAACACCCCAAAACCCCAAAGAACACCCCAAAACCUCGAUAACCCCAAAGAACACCCCAACACCCUCUCUCCCUACAGACGAAGAAGGGCGUCAAGCGGAAAGCCG
rnacentral:lncRNA from 1 species